CUGAAUUUUGUCUUUGCAAUGACCUCUGAUAUUUGAUUACGAGCUGCCCGCAAGCAUGACGGAUCCAGCGACAGUGUGGACGGUGUUACUUUUCACACUCCGCUGUCAGCAUAACAAUAAGCACCUCUGUGGUCAAAUUUCUGCUGUCAUGCUCCCUUAGCGCUGGCCAUUUAAUCUGGCUAAUAACCAGAAUUUAGUGAAUAUGCAUGCGCUAGAUUAGAUGGAAACCGGGACUGGCCAUGCCUAGCGUUUAACUCUUGAAGGCACAUCUUCAGCAUCAACCAAUGCCUUUAAAGAGCAUUCAGAUUUACAAUGUAGGAAAUGGGUGAUAGUGAGAUUUUAUGGUAAAGAUUGUCACAUGCUUUUAGGGGGCAAGUGAAAAUAAAUUAAUAUACAGUUUUUUUGCGUAAUAAUACAGUACAUGCAUUCCCAAAGAAUCAAACCCAUAUACUGAACAUGUAACUUUACCGCAUAAAGGACCAAAGUACUUGGACGAAGUCAUUAGAUCAGAUAAUGCUUAAAUAAUAAGGUAUAGAGGAAGCUAUAACAAUUACAUUAAAGAACAGAAGCAGAUUAUAGCAUAUUUGCUCUGCUAAAUCACCCCUCAUAGCCAAACAGACGCCUCAUCCCGAACAUUCCCCAGGAGACCUUGACAGCUGCAUGCUCUUAACAGAAUACACGUUUAAGGUGAUGUUUGCAGGCAGAUGGAGCCUUGUGGUUUGGAUGUGAUGGAUUGUGCAAAAGAGGGUUUGUUGCGAUCCAUCACUCAUGUAAGCGGUGGAGGGCCUCAUUAGAAUGAGGGGUAUUAAAGGAACACCUGCAGCCUGAUGGCCCUCGGAUAGAGCAGCUUAUGUUUGAAUAGACCCACUCUCACGCACGCAACAGCUAACACGCACUACUGCAAUCAUCUCUGACAAUACAGACUAUAACCUCUGUUGAAGGGAAGCACAGAGCUAGUUUUAUCCUACUCGUAGCAACGCUUGAAAAAUGUAUGACAUGGUUAUUAUCUCUCAGUAUUGUUUUUCUUAAUAUUGUACAUUGGAAAAGAAGUCAUUAGCGUUCAGAGACACUAAUUAUACAACACGAGAGCUGAGGUCUGAGAAGUCAAGGUUGAGGGAAUUGGGGAUCUUUGAGGCUCUGCAAACAUACAGUCGAAAAUAGAUCAGUGAUGGGUAUUAUAAAGCGUUCAUCAGAGUGAUUAAUAUCACUGUGAGCCACUACACUGUGUCUGUCCCUAUCUGUUCUGUCAUUGGCAUUUCCUAAUGGCUUUAUUUCUUUGCGCUGCCAAAGUUGAUAAUUUACGCACAUUUAAUCAAUUCAUGGGAUUUAAAAUGUAUGCUUAAAAAUUUUAAUCAUAUGAAUCAAUGAAUACAUUUUCUCAAAGUAUGGCAAUGCAAGGUCAAAUAAGGCAAAAACAGGUCAGCAUUUGCAAGUACACAGCAAAAUCACCAGUGUUAAAUUUUCAGGGAUGGUGUUAAAUACCAAGUGUUGAUGCUGUUUUAACACUAUCUGGUAAUAAAAUAACACUGCCAUUGCUAGGCCAGUGUUAUAUUCACGACAGUGUCAGUGUUAAACAAGGGUGUUAUCAGAUUUCACUCUGAGUGGUGUAAAUCAAGCCACGCCUCCACUAAACAUAUCCUCUCAGGGAUUUUACCGCCAUUUUGUUUCACAGGAGGACUGAAGAGAUCAGAUGCUAGUUUGGUGAAAGUACACACUGAGUGCUUCAAAUCAUUCAGAAGAGAUGCUGUUUUUAGGGCAGUUUAUUAAAGAAGACCUGACAUGGAUGACUUCCAAUGAGAAACGACUGCUAAUACUUAUAUAAAUUCAUUACAGAAGGACCCUACCAGACUAUAUUUGAAUACGGCAUACCCAUGAAUUCUGGAACUGUUAUUCCUUAACCCAGUUUGGAGGAUAAGAGCUUACCAACUAGUUAUAAAUAUGCUGAGGUGAUGUAUUGCAAAAUAGCCAACAUACAACAAUAUGGAUGACCCUCUGUCUGGUCAACAGGAGUUUAAAUAUGGACGGGACAGUUAUGUGGCAGCUCUUCCCUGGCUCACUCACCUCUUGCCUUUCAUUUGUGAAAGGAAGAAAGAAGAAAGAGGGUCAAUGUGCAACUGAAGCUACUGAUUGUGCUGUGUGAUGAGCAUCAAUCCAUGCUUUGAGGGGAAUGAAUCAGCACAGCCCUGCCUGCACUGCGUUGGGAACAGAAGUUGCAUCCAGAAUUUUUGCAUCAUUCUGGACCAAAAAGCCAUUCCCUCCAUGAUGAAGACCACUGAUGCAGCCUUCCGCUACAUCAUGAGUAAAACAACUACAGAACUAAAUACCAGGUUGGAACGUAUUUAAGAAAAAUGAAACGUCUUUUGAAUUGAAAUGUCUGUUUUGUUAUGGAAAAAUCUUUAGUAUUGUGAAGGAUAAGCAUUUCUGCCUGCCAGUAAGGUAAUUGCAGUGUAUUUUAAUGUUCAAGUUUUGAGUAGGGUGGCUAAUUUUUUUUAAACUCUCAUUUGAUAUAUUAAAGACCUUAUAAUAAGUGGUUUUCAUGUCACUGCGCUGUGGUAUAAGAUAACUUUCAUUAUUCCAUACUGUAUUCUGUAUUCUAAUUGUAGCUGAGCUAUUUAAAUAAGCAGUGUUAAAUGCAAAGUGUUGUGUGUAUCAAUGUAAAUAUUAAAUGUGAUGUACUUUAAUAAAAAGAGGUUUUGCAAUAUUUCUUGUCAUUUGUCUUUUAUAGAAACAACCCAUUAGCAACAAAAGUGGCUAUUAAUCAGUAUUUUAACA